AGAGUUUGAUCCUGGCUCAGAUUGAACGCUGGCGGCAGGCCUAACACAUGCAAGUCGAGCGGUAGAGAGGAGCUUGCUCCUCUUGAGAGCGGCGGACGGGUGAGUAAUGCCUAGGAAUCUGCCUGGUAGUGGGGGAUAACGUUCGGAAACGGACGCUAAUACCGCAUACGUCCUAAGGGAGAAAGCAGGGGACCUUCGGGCCUUGCGCUAUCAGAUGAGCCUAGGUCGGAUUAGCUAGUUGGUGAGGUAAUGGCUCACCAAGGCGACGAUCCGUAACUGGUCUGAGAGGAUGAUCAGUCACACUGGAACUGAGACACGGUCCAGACUCCUACGGGAGGCAGCAGUGGGGAAUAUUGGACAAUGGGCGAAAGCCUGAUCCAGCCAUGCCGCGUGUGUGAAGAAGGUCUUCGGAUUGUAAAGCACUUUAAGUUGGGAGGAAGGGCAGUUACCUAAUACG
rnacentral:rRNA from 1 species